CGUGUAGGCGGGUCGGAACGUCGGCCGUUGAAAUCCCCCGGCUCAACCGGGGAAGGGGCGCCGAUACGACCGACCUGGAGCGACGUAGGGGGAACUGGAACUUCCGGUGGAGCGGUGAAAUGCGUUGAGAUCGGAAGGAACGCCCGUGGCGAAAGCGAGUUCCUGGACGUCGGCUGACGCUGAGACGCGAAAGCCAGGGGAGCGAACG
rnacentral:rRNA from 1 species